rnacentral:rRNA from 1 species
UACGGAGGGAGCUAGCGUUGUUCGGAAUUACUGGGCGUAAAGCGCGCGUAGGCGGCUUUGUAAGUUAGAGGUGAAAGCCCGGGGCUCAACUCCGGAAUUGCCUUUAAGACUGCAUCGCUUGAAUUGUGGAGAGGUAAGUGGAAUUCCGAGUGUAGAGGUGAAAUUCGUAGAUAUUCGGAAGAACACCAGUGGCGAAGGCGACUUACUGGACACAUAUUGACGCUGAGGUGCGAAAGCGUGGGGAGCAAACAGG